rnacentral:rRNA from 1 species
GGAGGUAGUGACAAUAAAUCACAAUGCGGGACUUUUUAGUUUUGCAAUUGGAUUGAGAACAAUGUACAAGAGUUAUCGAUAAACAAUUGGAGGGCAAGUCUGGUGCCAGCAGCCGCGGUAAUUCCAGCUCCAAUAGCGUAUAUUAACGUUGUUGCAGUUAAAAAGCUCGUAGUUGAAGUGUGGGUGAUUUCUUCUGUGAAUACUUUUUGUAUUUGCUUUUGAGUCGCCCCUCUCCAACAUGGUCUCGUGGGUAUUAAUUUACUUGCGUUUCCGGUUGGUCAUUUACUGUGAGAAAAUUAGAGUGUUCAAAGCAGGCAUUUGCUUGAAUAUAUUAGCAUGGAAUAAUACUAAAAGGCUUGUAUGGUCGAUUUAAUUGGUUUGUUCAUAUAAGCAAGAUUAAUAGGGACAGUUGGGGGUAUUCAUAUUCAAUAGUUAGAGGUGAAAUUCUCGGAUUUAUGGAAGAUGAACAAGUGCGAAAGCA